rnacentral:rRNA from 1 species
GACGAACGCUGGCGGCGUGCUUCAAACAUGCAAGUCGAACGGAGUUGAAGGAAGCUUGCUUCUGACAACUUAGUGGCGGACGGGUGAGUAACGCGUGAGCAAUCUGGCUAUUACAGGGGGACAACAGUUGGAAACGACUGCUAAUACCGCAUAUGACCACAGCCUGGCAUCAGGAAGGGGUGAAAGGAGUAAUCCGGUAAUAGAUGAGCUUGCGUCUCAUUAGCUAGUUGGUGAGGGUAACGGCCCACCAAGGCGACGAUGAGUAGCCGAUCUGAGAGGAUGAACGGCCACACUGGAAUUGAGAGACGGUCCAGACUCCUACGGGAGGCAGCAGUUAGGAAUAUUGGGCAAUGGAGGAAACUCUGACCCAGCAACGCCGCGUGAAGGAAGAAGGUUUUCGGAUUGUAAACUUCUGAUCUAUGGGAAGAAGAAAGUGACGGUACCAUAGGAGAAAGCCAACGGCUAACUACGUG